GAUCUCUUCUUCUCUCCUCACUCCACGUCGGUUCUCUUUUCUCUACCUCUGGUUCCGCCGUUCCACGGAGACGAACGACCGCUACGAGGACCACCGGCCCGAGCCCCGCCGCGCACCGCGGCCCCUCACGCCGGCGCACGGCCGCCUGUCCUACCGCGAGUUCGACCGCGGCACGCGCCGCCGGUGCGUCUUGGGGGCCCGGCGCCACCGCGGGCCGACGACGCGCGUCUAUGCGUCGUAGCCCGCGUCGGGGUUCACGGACACGCGGCAGUACGACAGGUCGUGGCGCGCGGUCCGGCCGCAGUUCGGGCGGCAGCGGUACUGGUAGGGGUUCGCGACGCGGUAGCGGUUGGCGAGGUAGCCGAUGUUUACGCCGGGUAUGUGGGACGGUACUCCGAACCUUGAAGACCUUCUCGUCUACCGUGUGUGGACUACGGUAGAAACGGUACACCUUGAAAAUGAACUUAGAAAAUACUUAUUUAUUCUCUAGAGUUAUUUGUUACACCAACAUUACGGAGACAACCU
rnacentral:rRNA from 1 species